GCGGAGGGCCGGAUGGCUGCGGGCCACAUGGGUUCCAUGGGUCCGAGGAAAGUCCGGACUCCCUGAAGCAACGGUGCCGGGUAACGCCCGGGCGGGGCAACCCGACGGAAAGCGCCACAGAGAACAGACCGCCUUCGGCCUGGCCGGGGGUAAGGGUGAAACGGUGGAGUAAGAGCCCACCGCGCCCCUGGCAACAGGGGUGGCAUGGCAAGCCCCACCGGGAGCAAUGCCGAAUAGGACCCCCGCGCGGCACCGGUCUUCGGACCGCCGCUAGGCUCGCUUCAGCCGAGAGGGGUCGGGUUGGCAGCUUGAGGCGCAUGGCAACAUGCGCAGCAGAGGAAUGGUCAUCCAAGGGGGGCGACCCCCUGGACAGAAUCCGGCUUACAGGCCCUCCGCGCGA
rnacentral:RNase_P_RNA from 1 species